UCUUAUCAAGAGAAGCUGAGGGACUGGCCCUAUGAAGCUUCAGCAACCAGCCAAUUGGUCAGGUGCUAAUUCCAGUGGAGUAAUCCUGUAGAUAAG
rnacentral:ncRNA from 1 species